CUCCCUAAUUCUCCUCUUGGCUCCUGCCGUAUCAUCAUCGCUGCGAUGGGACAUAGAAGAACCUCGGUGGGGUGAGGUGCAGCAUGUGUUGAGCCUGCGCGUGUGCAAGGAGGACGGCGCUACACAGAAGCUCGCGGCCCGCCGGAGGAGGACCAGCCGAGAGCUCGGCCUCUCCCAGGGUGCACCUGUGGAGAGUUCAACCUCUUCCCUCUUGGCUCUGGGCGCCCUCUGGUGGCUAGGGGCGGGGCUGCUAGGAGGACGAACUCGGCGCCCCCGUGUCCGAGAUUGUGGCGCGGUCAACCCUCGACUCCAAGUCAAGGGCUGGAUCUGAUGGCGUUGUGCAAUGACGCGUUCGGUGCUCUGAAUUUCGACGUUGUCUGAACGUGCAAGUAGUCACGGAUUGUAUUAAGUCUGGUACAGUGCUAUAUGGAGCAACAUACAUGAUUAUGCAUCCUGAAUUCCUGAUCGAAGUCCGCCAGCACAAGAUAAUAAUUACUCGAAGUUUUCUGUUCUAAAGGUUAUUUUGACUUCAACACAAUUGUGAUUGAGCGGAUUUUACUGCUAUAAGGAAAAGCAUAUGCUAAAAGUGUACGAUUGUUCUCGUAAACCAUAUAUCUGGUACUGAGCUAUUAUUACUUCUGCAAUUAUGCAUGAAGGUAAAAAAUAAUAUUUUUACUAGCAAUUUGAUCCAUAUUAUUAUCCAUUUCCAUCACUAUGCAAUAUUUUGUACUCUACAAAUAUGUCUUUCCUCUGAAUUUACUGAAGUUCAGCUAUGCAUGGCCUGCCAGUUGCAUAUUCUACUUCACAAGGUCAGUAAAGACCAACAUGGUUUAUUCCAUAUAAUGCUUCGUUUUUCUGCAACUCUCUCUUAGUUCCUUUACUUAUGUAGCUAAAGGAAAAAAACAUGAUGCAUUUGCAUGUGUUAAUGCUAAUAGAGAUAAAUAGUUGAAAUAUGUGGAUUGCUACACCAGUAGAAGGUUGGAUAAAUUUUAAUGAAGGAGUUUUUCUCUUGUUCUUAACAUGGGCGAGGCUGGCAUCAUUGGCUCAUGCUAGCAAUUAUGGUGGGAAAUUUCUUUUUCCAGCAAUCAGAAAUCUGUCAACAAAUGUCGUACAUCUUAACAAGGGACCCAUUUAUGUGAAUUUACCCAUAGCUAUAUAUCCCAGCAACUCAAUAGUGGUAUAUCAACUUCAACACUAUUAAUAUGCAUAGAUUGCAUAAAUAUUUCUUCCGUGCUUUAGGUUGCUGCCCAAGAGAGAGCUUAUCUUGCAAACUGUUUCGGUGGGAUAUAGAGGUUCAAACCUUCCAACAUAUUACUACACACCAAAGUCAUGGUCUUUAUCGCUGGAUUAUGCUUCUAUUGGAAAUAACAACAGUAAAGAAAAGUUUCUAAAAACAGGGAAAACUAGAUGCCAUGGAUGAAGGAGGAACCAGGACUAAGCCCGGGUGAUUGUAUGAAGGUUGGGGUAUAGAUGUCGAUUAUGCCAAAUGAGUGAGUUCAUUUAGGGGUUAGAAUUUUGAGUUUCUUUAAGUUGCAAGAUUUUAGUUUGAUAUGAACUGGAUACCACUCAACAAUCAGCACGAACCGUGAGGAGGGAGGGUUACUAUUAUCUUUAAUUCCUGGUCAACUUAAAAACUGCAGAGGUUUUGCAUCACGUGUUAGUCAAGCUACUGGCAUGUUGAGCAAUAUAUGUACGCAUGUCAUGUUAAAUAGUACUCCAUGUAUGUGGGUGUUUUAAAAUAGGAACGGUAGAUGCAUCUCUUUUUGAGAACUUCACUGCAGAAGCCUCCUGGUACUUCGUGGAUUAAAGAAAAUAGGUUGUUACAAUAUUUAAAUAGCAGCCAUUCUGGCCUACAUGGGGAGCAACGCCUUUUACAAGAUAUAAAUAUACAUUACGCAAAAUUCAUGAUGCUCCGACUGUACUCUACAGGUACAUCUCUUAUUAAGUAUGUACAACCAUGAAAAGUAAAAUAUGAUUCAGGCUUAGAGUACUUUGAGGAACUAUACGAAGUGAAAUAAAAUUUCUUUGCCUGAUAGACCCAAUAAGAACUUCUGCUUAUGGAAGCUCUGUGAUCCUAAUGUUGAACAUGUAUUUCAACAUUUAAGGAAGUCUGGCGUUAAAUUAACGUUCUUCCGAUUUUGAUACCUGUCAACAAACACUUCUGCAUGCCUUAAAAUGCGAUCACUGGUUUGAUGCGGUUAUCAUGUCUACUGAGGUAAGUUGACUAAAAUUGCCGCUCCUUCUAUCCGCCAUUUCUGCUGAGGCGAAUUGACUGAUAUUGUCACUCCUUCUACCUACCAUUGAGAUAUGGUUAUAUGUUUAGGUACAUCACUUUCAGUUUCUGUAUAGCUGCAAGUUAGCCUGUUUAUAUGCAGUACAUCAUUAGGUGGAUACGUGAAGUAAGUUGACUAAAAUUGUCACUCCUUCUAUCUGCCAAGUCUCAUGAGGUACAUUGAAUAAUAUUGUCACUCCUACCUAUCGUUGAGAUGGCUUAGAUGUUAAGGUAUAGUGCUCUUUCAGUUACUGUACAGCUAGAUUCGCAAAAAAAAAAUUACUGUACAGCUAUAAGUUAGAAUGCAUGUCUAUAUACAGUACAUCAUUAGGUGGAUGCAGAUGCAAUUUACCGGUGUAAAGUUUGUGAAUAAAAUGUUCAUGGAGAAUCAGUAUUGAGAUUUGUUUCUAUAAUCAUCUACUUUCCCUUCUCAGAACUUCAAGCUGGCAAUACAAUUUACACUACAUCUAUUUAUCUGUUUUCUAAAAGUGAUUAUUAGUAACAAUUUUAUGAUUAGCAAAUCACUCUUUGAUGUGCAUUUGUACACCUCCGAACCUUUGUAGUUCCCACGGAAAAUCUUGUGAUCCUAGUAAACUAUUAGAAAGGUGGAUCAUGAAAACAUCAGAUGAAAGAGAUCGCAGUUUCUUGUUCAUCUACAUAUUUCAAUACAUCCUAGAGUAGCAGAAAUGCACUUGCCAAUGAUAUAUACAUAUUUUCAGGAUCUGUUUUUUCUCGACAAGGGGAACGAAGCCCCAGCCUUUGCAUCAAAGCGAUGCAUACGGGCUUUUUUUCAGGAUCUGUUUGGAACACGACGAUCAGAUGAUUACAUGUAUUGCAUAUCCAGCGAGACAAGGUCCAUCACUCCUCUUCCGUUUGCGCCGAGCUCGCGGGCCUACCGCGAUCCUCCUCCCACAAGUGCCAGAAUCUACGACGAGGAACAUACUGGUCUAUAUUCCAAUCUGAGAAGCACAUGAUAAAACUUACAAUUAUUCCAAGGUACAUUUGGAUAUCUUAAUUUAUAUUGUGCAGCUCUGCAAAUGGAUCAUUUAAUCAUUCAUUACGCGAGAAAACUCCUCCAUGUCUUCAGUAAUUACGGCUGUGAAAAGUAGACCAGAUCAAUGAUGCCAUGAUAAAAAAUGUUCCUGUCCCUCGUACAUAAAACAAGUUAUAUGGCAGAUCUUCUAAACUCUGUGCUCCAGACAAGUAAAGACAUCUAUAUAGAGAAAAAAAUUAGGAAGAUCUUUUGAUUUCCAUGAUGAAAGCUAAAAUAGUGUAACGUUGGCAGAAAGAGAUUGAGUUGGACUGCAUCAUACACAUCGUUCAUACUACCAGAAGCAACCACAAUAAUUCAUAUCAUCCAUUUUCCAAGAUAUAUUUUUACUUUGGUUACAUGUUUUGUUCAACCAUGUGUAGCUAAUACUUAUCAUGAAUGGACAGUAUCUCACAGUGCAUUAUUUAUUUGGAUGAACCGAAUCCAUUUUCUUUGCCCACAAGAUGUAUGUUUUGUUCCAUUACUGAAUAAGCAUAUGUUUAGGUAUCCCUAGAAAAUGAAGAUUUAUUCACAUUAGAAUGAGCUUUUGACAAAUAUAUAGGCAAUUGAGAUGUAUUCUGAAUCUGAUAGAACCGAAGUGCUGAGAAAGGAGUGUUCCAAGUUUAUUUUUCUCACACGGGAAUUCUCUAUCUGGCGUUUUCAGUGUCGCCUCUAGAUUCCACUAAUUUACAUGUCCUAUUUAUUUGUCUAAAAGACAAAAUAAUUACAAACUCAUGUGAAUUACUCACUGAAUGAAUCCUCUCAGUCAUGUUAUAAUUAUAUAUUUCCAUAAUUCCUCUCUGAUUGAUAAGAUAUUUCACAAAGGAUACGACCUUGUACCUUUUGUGAUUUAUCGUGUAAUCGUGUAAAGAAAAAACAUGAGAAUCCGUAGCAACGCACGGGCAUUCAACUAGUUUUCACAAUAUAUGUGUAUUCAGUUACAAAACAAGAAAGCUGUUUCAUAUUUGUUUUAAAGAAAUAUCAAAAUUAAUAGAAAGUAAAAAAAUGCAACCUUUUUUUUGGUCAAGUAUUACGAAAAACCAAUAUCUUUUGUGAUCUAUGUAAAAAAAAGAAAUUUUAUCUUGUGAAAAAACAUUGUUUUUUGCACAUACGCUCAGUACUCACUCUCAUAGUCGCAUCUAGUAUACCAUUUCAUUUUCUAAGCAUACUUGAGUGUAUAUGUAAGCAAUAUAGUUUUAAAAAACCAACCCGGUUGCUGUUAAUAUAAUGUUGAUGAUGUUAUUUUAGAUUUAGAAGAAUAAUUGCAGGGCACCGUAACAUAUGCAAUAUUGAUCUCGCACUGCAGUGCAAUGUUGGCUGUUGAGUUAGCAAAAUGAAAUAUACCAAAAACCAUCCCUUUACAAUCGCGGGAUAAAAACACCACCACCUUUUUUCAAAGAAUAAACACUAGUAGUGAAUUAAUAGGGAAUUUGACAGGUGGGGUCCAUUAGUCAGAGCUUCAGCUUCUAUGGCGAGUUUUUUAUGUGAAAUGGGUUCCACAUGCCAAGGUAAUUAAAAAUCUAAAGAAUCAACAAAAAAUCCCCACCCACCCAUCCUUUCUUGCUCAACCAAGACAACCCGGACCGCCUCCGGUCAACCCAGCGCCGCCAGCUCGGACAACUAUGGCCUGCCGAGAACAGCGCCAACACAAACCGCUCCGCCGAGAAGGUCCCCGCAACCACCAAUUCCCAUAUAUUUUAUGUCUGCCCAAUUGUCGUCGUCUGUUCUAUAUUGCAGAUGUCGCCCCAUUCUCCACCGAGCAGCGCCACUCCGUUAUCCCAUUCUCCACCACCAGCGCCAUGCCUCCCCCCUCUACACCCAGCAGUGUUGCGUCCUUCACCUUGUUCUCCGGCCCGCAUCAUGAUGCCAUAGAUGGCCAUCAUCGGGCAUCCAAGAUAUAACAAUAGUAGCUCCGCUUCCGAGCGGCUUUGGGUUUGGUGACCCGGGGCACCAUGUGGAGGAUUGAUAAAUUUGAAGAGAGGGACAGGAGGAGGACGUUCACGGAAGCUGAUCUCGGUUGCGAGCAGGGGUUGUGGCGGUGGCCCUAGGAUGCAACCAGGAAGGCGCCCAGUAGUCCUCGCCCGCGAGCAGGGGCGCGAUGGCGGUGCUAGGGAAGAGCGACGCCUCCGUGGUGGUGGGGGUGAUGUACUACCGGUGCUGGUGGUAGCCUUGGAUGGGGACGAUUACCCAUUUUUGUGUAUUUUAUUUUUCAGAUUUUUUUUCUAAUUGAGCUAACAUGUGGGACCCAGUCCAUAUUAGCAAGUCCACUAACUGUGUUGUCACCUCAGCCUUGACUAGUGGGUGCCGA